UCUGGGGGAGCCUCCCAGGGAUAGUGUUAGUAUCAGGAUGAGUGAGGUGAUUAGGGGUGUUUUACUUCAUGUUUGUGAUAGGGAUAAUGUUGUUGUAGCAGAGCUGUGUAUGAGUAGUAUGAAGGUGGCUAAUGUU